rnacentral:rRNA from 1 species
AUUGAACGCUGGCGGAAUGCUUUACACAUGCAAGUCGAACGGCAGCACGGACUUCGGUCUGGUGGCGGGUGGCGAACGGGUGAGUAAUAUAUCGGAACGUAUCCAAUAAUGGGGGAUAACUAAUCGAAAGGUUGGCUAAUACCGCAUACGUCCUACGGGAGAAAGCUAGGGACCUUCGGGCCUGGCGUUAAUGGAGCGGCCGAUAUCGGAUUAGCUAGUUGGUGAGGUAAAGGCUCACCAAGGCGACGAUCCGUAGCUGGUCUGAGAGGACGACCAGCCACACUGGAACUGAGACACGGUCCAGACUCCUACGGGAGGCAGCAGUGGGGAAUUUUGGACAAUGGGCGAAAGCCUGAUCCAGCCAUUCCGCGUGAGUGAAGAAGGCCUUCGGGUUGUAAAGCUCUUUCGCAAGAGAAGAAAACUUACCCUCUAACAUAGGGUGAGGUUGACGGUAUCUUGAUAAGAAGCACCGGCUAACUACGUGCCAGCAGCCGCCGUAA